rnacentral:rRNA from 1 species
CUACGGGGUGCAGCAGGCGCGUAGCCUUUACAAUGCACGAAAGUGUGAUAAGGGGAUCCCAAGUGCUCAUGUAUUGCAUGAGCUUUUGCCAAGAGUAAAUAUCUUGGCGAAUAAGUGGUGGGAAAGACUGGUGCCAGCAGCCGCGGUAACACCAGCGCCACGAGUGGCAUCCACAUUUAUUGGGCCUAAAGCGUCCGUAGCCGGAUUGGAAAAUCUCUUGUGAAAUCAUGGGGCUUAACUCCAUGCCGUGCAGGAGACACUAUCAAUCUAGGGACCGGGAGGAGUCUGAGGUAUUCUGGGGGGAGCGGUAAAAUGUUAUAAUCCCCGGAGGACCACCUGUGGCGAAGGCGUCAGACUAGAACGGAUCCGACGGUGAGGGACGAAAGCUGGGGGAGCAAACCGGAUUAGAUACCCCCGUAGUC